rnacentral:snRNA from 1 species
AUACUUAAAUGGCAGGAAAGCUACCAUGAUCACAAAGAUGGUUUUCCCAGGGCAAAACUUAUCCAUUGCACUCUGGACAUGCUGGCCACUGCAGUUUCCCCAAAUGUGGAAAUCUGUGGUAGUGGGGACUGAGUUCGCACUCUCCCUGG